CCGCGAUUCUGAUGCUUCCUCCUUCACUUUAAAAGAGGACGUCGGGCUGCAGGGGAAGAAGGAGAGGAAGAAAAUUCGCAGCGAGGGUAAACUGAAAGGAAGAUUUUGUGUGAUUUCUUCAAUCAGAUUAAUCAGCUAGUGGUGUAAUCAGGAGCAAAACAAGGGAGGAAUCCAUCAGUUAGAUUAACACUGUCACUCAGAACAAAGGUAAGUGAAAUUUGACUCUCACCACUUGAGUAGAAUUUAUCUUCUAAAUUUUUUGAGAUAUUUUUGGAAAGAAAUGAGU
rnacentral:lncRNA from 1 species